rnacentral:rRNA from 1 species
UACGGAGGGGGCAAGCGUUAUUCGGAAUUAUUGGGCGUAAAGGGCGCGUAGGCGGCUAGAUGUGUCAAAGGUGAAAUCCCUCGGCUCAACUGAGGAACUGCCUUUGAAACUGUCUGGCUUGAGGCCGGGAGAGGGUAGCGGAAUUCCCAGUGUAGCGGUGAAAUGCGUAGAUAUUCGCAAGAACACCAGUGGCGAAGGCGGCUCACUGGCCCGAUACUGACGCUGAGGCACGAAAGCGUGGGGAGCAAGCAGG